rnacentral:sRNA from 1 species
UCAACAAGUCUAACGCAAUAAAUAUGAAU